rnacentral:rRNA from 1 species
UACGGAGGGUCCAAGCGUUAUCCGGAUUUAUUGGGUUUAAAGGGUCCGUAGGUGGGAUUGUAAGUCAGUGGUGAAAUCUUUCGGCUCAACCGGAAAACUGCCAUUGAAACUGCAGUUCUUGAGUAUGCUCGAUGUAGGCGGAAUAUGUCAUGUAGCGGUGAAAUGCAUAGAUAUGACAUAGAACACCGAUAGCGAAGGCAGCUUACAAGCGCAUAACUGACACUGAGGGACGAAAGCGUGGGGAGCGAACAGG